GAGAGAGAGAGAAGGGAGGAGGUAGAGAGGCAGGGAGAGGGAACAACCAAGGCCUGAGGGGACAGAAGUGAGGGGUGGGGACAGAGAAGGAAAGAAAGGGCAUGGAGACCAGGAGAAAACAGAGGCAGAGGCAGUCAAAAUGCAGAAAGACCAACAGCAAGAGAGACAGCAACGGAACAGAGACCGAUGGAGAGAUGGAGACAGAGAGACAGAGAUACACAUGGAGAUAAUGAGAACCUGGUACCUGGACAGCACCAUUCAGCGUUGGAAACCCAGGUGGGCUGCUGUGCUCAGGGGCCACACUGGAUUGUUUUGUUGGGGAGUGUGAUGGGGACUCCCAAAGGAUACACUCUAGCUUUUCAAAGGAAUCAGAAAUUGGGAGGAUUUGGUUAUGAGAUAAGUGUCUUCUAAUACCAUGUGAAACAAGAUUUUGAAAAAAAUAUGCAUUCUGAGAAUAUAAA